GACGAACGCUGGCGGCGUGCUUAACACAUGCAAGUCGAACGGAAAGGCCCUGCUUUUGUGGGGUGCUCGAGUGGCGAACGGGUGAGUAACACGUGAGUAACCUGCCCUUGACUUUGGGAUAACUUCAGGAAACUGGGGCUAAUACCGGAUAGGAGCUCCUGCUGCAUGGUGGGGGUUGGAAAGUUUCGGCGGGUGGGGAUGGACUCGCGGCUUUUCAGCGUGUUGGUGGGGUAGUGGCUUACCAAGGCUUUGACGGGUAGCCGGCCUGCGAGGGUGGCCGGACCCAUUGGGACUGCGAUACGGCCAAGACUCCUACGGGAGGCAGCAGUGGGGAAUAUUGCACAAUGGGCGAAAGCCUGAUGCAGCGACGCCGCGUGAGGGAUGACGGCCUUCGGGUUGUAAACCGCUUUCGGCUGUGACGAAGCGUGAGUGACGGUAAUGGGUGAAGAAGCACCGGCUAACUACGUG
rnacentral:rRNA from 1 species